UACGGGGGGGGCAAGCGUUGUUCGGAAUUACUGGGCGUAAAGCGCACGUAGGCGGCUUUGUAAGUAAGAGGUGAAAGCCCGGAGCUCAACUCCGGAACUGCCUUUUAGACUGCAUCGCUUGAAUCCAGGAGAGGUGAGUGGAAUUCCGAGUGUAGAGGUGAAAUUCGUAGAUAUUCGGAAGAACACCAGUGGCGAAGGCGGCUCACUGGACUGGUAUUGACGCUGAGGUGCGAAAGCGUGGGGAGCAAACAGG
rnacentral:rRNA from 1 species